rnacentral:rRNA from 1 species
UACAGAGGUCCCAAGCGUUGUUCGGAUUCACUGGGCGUAAAGGGUGCGUAGGCGGUCGGGUAAGUCUGAUGUGAAAUCUCACAGCUUAACUGUGAAACUGCAUUGGAUACUAUUCGGCUAGAGAGUUGGAGGGGGGACUGGAAUUCUCGGUGUAGCAGUGAAAUGCGUAGAUAUCGAGAGGAACACCAGUGGCGAAGGCGAGUCCCUGGACAACUUCUGACGCUGAGGCACGAAAGCUAGGGGAGCAAACGGG